CGGUUGAUCCUGCCGGAGAUCACCGCUCUUGGACCCGAUUCAGCCAUGCGAGUCGAGAGGCUCCAGGCCUCGGCACAGGUCUCGGUAACCCGCAGACAACCUGCCCUGAGGUGGGGUAUAAUCUCGGGAAACUGAGAAUAAUACCCCAUAACACACAUCACUGCAAUGUGAUGUGUGUGAAAGCGCCUCAGGAUGGGUCUGCGGCCCAUCAGGUCGUAGUUGGUGUAACGGACCAACUAGCCUUCGACGGGUACGGGCCUUGAGAGAGGUCGCCCGGAGAUGGACUCUGAGACAUGAGUCCAGGCCCUACGGGGCGCAGCAGGCGCGAAAACUUCGCAAUGUGGGAAACCACGACGAGGGGAGUCCAAGUGCCUACACAAUGUGUAGGCUGUUUCCUUGGCUAAAAACCAAGAAGAGUAAGGGCUGGGUAAGACGGGUGCCAGCCGCCGCGGUAAUACCCGCAGCCCGAGUGGUGGUCGCUAUUAUUGGGCCUAAAACGUCCGUAGCCGGCCCGGUAAAUCCUUGGGUAAAUCGGUCAGCUCAACUGACCGAAUUCCGAGGAGACUGCCGGGCUUGGGACCGGGUGAGGUCAGAGGUACUUCAGGGGUAGGGGUAAAAUCCUGUAAUCCUUGAAGGACCACCAGUGGCGAAGGCGUCUGACUUAAACGGAUCCGACGGUAAGGGACGAAGCCCUGGGGCACAAACGGGAUUAGAUACCCCGGUAGUCCAGGGUGUAAACGCUGUGGGCUUGGUGUUGGGGGUCCCACGAGGGCACCCAGUGCCGGAGAGAAGUUGUUAAGCCCACUGCCUGGGGAGUACGCUCGCAAGAGUGAAACUUAAAGGAAUUGGCGGGGGAGCAC
rnacentral:rRNA from 1 species